AACGAACGCUGGCGGCAUGCCUAACACAUGCAAGUCGAACGAGACCUUCGGGUCUAGUGGCGCACGGGUGCGUAACGCGUGGGAACCUGCCCUUAGGUUCGGAAUAACUCCCCGAAAGGGGUUCUAAUACCGGAUAAUAUCUUCGGACCAAAGAUUUAUCGCCUUUGGAUGGGCCCGCGUUGGAUUAGCUAGUUGGUAGGGUAAAAGCCUACCAAGGCGACGAUCCAUAGCUGGUCUGAGAGGAUGAUCAGCCACACUGGGACUGAGACACGGCCCAGACUCCUACGGGAGGCAGCAGUGGGGAAUAUUGGACAAUGGGCGAAAGCCUGAUCCAGCAAUGCCGCGUGAGUGAUGAAGGCCUUAGGGUUGUAAAGCUCUUUUACCCGGGAUGAUAAUGACAGUACCGGGAGAAUAAGCUCCGGCUAACUCCGUG
rnacentral:rRNA from 1 species